rnacentral:rRNA from 1 species
GACGAACGCUGGCGGCGUGCUCAACACAUGCAAGUCGAACGAUGAUGCUGGAGCUUGCUCCAGUUGAUUAGUGGCGAACGGGUGAGUAACACGUGAGCAAUCUGCCCUUGACUCUGGGAUAACUGCGGGAAACUGUAGCUAAUACCGGAUACUUUCACCGGAAGGCAUCUUCUGGUGAUGAAAGAAUUUCGGUCAGGGAUGAGCUCGCGGCCUAUCAGCUUGUUGGUGAGGUAACGGCUCACCAAGGCGACGACGGGUAGACGGCCUGAGAGGGAGACCGGCCACGCUGGGACUGAGACACGGCCCAGACACCUACGGGAGGCAGCAGUGGGGAAUAUUGCACAAUGGGCGCAAGCCUGAUGCAGCAACGCCGCGUGAGGGAUGAAGGCCUUCGGGUUGUAAACCUCUUUUAGCAGGGAAGAAGCGAAAGUGACGGUACCUGCAGAAAAAGCACCGGCUAACUACGUGCCAGCAGCCGCCGUAA